rnacentral:ncRNA from 1 species
UGAGGAGUACGCGGAACGGUGAACUCAAGGAAUCGCGGGCCCCGCACGAGCGGAAGGACUGUGUUUAAUUCGAUGAUCGCGAGGGACCCUUACCCGGGCUUAAAUGGCAGAUGAAUUACGGUGAAGCUGUUAAGCCGCAAGGCAUCUGUGAAGGGGCUGCAUGGUUAUCGUCAGUUCGAGCCGUGAGGUGUCGGCUUAAGUGCCAUAACGAGCGCAACCCUUGUUGUCAGUUACUAACAGGUUCCGCUGAGGACUCUGACAAGACUGCCAUCGUAAGAUGUGAGGAAGGUGGGGAUGACGUCAAAUCAGCACGGCCCUUACGUCCGGGGCUACACACGUGUUACAAUGGGGGGUACAGAGGGCCGCUACCACGCGAGUGGAUGCCAAUCCCCAAAACCUCUCUCAGUUCGGACUGGAGUCUGCAACCCGACUCCACGAAGCUGGAUUCGCUAGUAAUCGCGCAUCAGUCACGGCGCGGUGAAUACGUUCCCGGGCCUUGUACACACCGCCCGUCAAGCCAUGGGAACCGGGGGUACGUGAAGUGCGUAGACGCGAGGAGCGCCCUAGGGUAAAACUGGUGACUGGGGCUAAGUCGUAACAAGGUAGCCGUACCGGAAGGGCGGCAG